rnacentral:rRNA from 1 species
AAUGAACGCUGGCGGUAGGCCUAACACACGCAAGUCGAACGGCAGCACAGGAGAGCUUGCUCUCUGGGUGGCGAGUGGCGGACGGGUGAGGAACACAUCGGAAUCUACUUUUUCGUGGGGGAUAACGUAGGGAAACUUACGCUAAUACCGCAUACGACCUACGGGUGAAAGCAGGGGACCUUCGGGCCUUGCGCGAUUGAAUGAGCCGAUGUCGGAUUAGCUAGUUGGCGGGGUAAAGGCCCACCAAGGCGACGAUCCGUAGCUGGUCUGAGAGGAUGAUCAGCCACACUGGAACUGAGACACGGUCCAGACUCCUACGGGAGGCAGCAGUGGGGAAUAUUGGACAAUGGGCGCAAGCCUGAUCCAGCCAUACCGCGUGGGUGAAGAAGGCCUUCGGGUUGUAAAGCCCUUUUGUUGGGAAAGAAAUCCAGCUGGCUAAUACCCGGUUGGGAUGACGGUACCCAAAGAAUAAGCACCGGCUAACUUCGUGCCAGCCGCCGCAGUAA